rnacentral:rRNA from 1 species
UACAUCCUACGGGGCGCAGCAGUGAGGAAUAUUGGUCAAUGGGCUUACGCCUGAACCAGCCAAGUCGCGUGAGGGAAGACUGCCCUAUGGGUUGUAAACCUCUUUUGUCAGGGAGCAACGCCGGCUACGUGUAGCCGGACUGAGAGUACCUGAAGAAAAAGCAUCGGCUAACUCCGUGCCAGCAGCCGCGGUAAUACGGAGGAUGCGAGCGUUAUCCGGAUUUAUUGGGUUUAAAGGGUGCGUAGGCGGCGCUUCAGGUCAGCGGUGAAAUACCGGGGCUCAACCCCGGGGCUGCCGUUGAAACC